rnacentral:rRNA from 1 species
UUGGAGGGCAGUCUGGUGCCAGCAGUCGCGGUAAUUCAGCUCCAAUAGCGUAUAUUAAAGUUGUUGCAGUUAAAAAGCUCGUAGUUGAAUUUCGGGAUUAGUACGCUGGUCGUGCCUUCGGUACGUACUGGUGUUACUGAUUUCUACCUUCUGACGAACCAUCAUGUCAUUAAUUUGGUGUGGUGGGGAAUCAGGACUGUUACUUUGAAAAAAUUAGAGUGUUUAAAGCAGGCUCGCGCUUGAAUACAUUAGCAUGGAAUAAUGAAAUAGGACGUUGAUCCUAUUUUGUUGGUUUCUAGGAUUGACGUAAUGAUUAAUAGGGAUAGUUGGGGGCAUUAGUAUUCAAUUGUCAGAGGUGAAAUUCUUGGAUUUAUUGAAGACUAACUACUGCGAAAGCAUUUGCCAAGGAUGUUUUCAUUAAUCAAGAACGAAAGUUAGGGGAUCGAAGACGAUCAGAUACCGUCGUAGUCUUAACCAUAAACUAUGCCGACUAGGGAUCGGAUGAUGUUAUUUUUAAUGACUCAUUCGGCGCCUUACGGGAAAC